AUGGCCCGCUCGGUGCCACCCUAUCUGCCCCAACACCCGCACCGCCACCGCGCCCACAGGGCCCUGAAACACACCCCUGCCGCCUUCCCCCCAGCCAAACGGGCGGGCACGGCAUCUCUGGGACGGGAAACACCCCCGCCCCUCCCUCCCUCCCUCCGCUUCACUGACACCUUCUUUUCCCGCCUGCCCUCAGACCCGGCUGCCCAGUUGCGCUCUCUUUCUCAUCUUCCCCUCACUUACACGAGCGACAAGUUGUCGGAGGGCAGCUUUACCGCCCCACAGCGAUUACAAGCACACACGGGAGGGCAGAGCUGGCCUCCCUGCAUUUCCGCACGGCACUCGCGGCUCCGAGCUCAGCCCGAACGCGCAGGACGCUCCCUCCAGAGGGGCCGCAGAGCGCUACCGGCUCUGGCGGGCCUCGGGGUAACCGCCAUCCCCCCACGGGACCCCCGUCCCUCGCCCUCCGUGUCCCCCCAGCGGGAGCCCCGGCCGCCCCUCAGGGCCGCAGCACCGCUGCCUCGCCACAGCUGUGCACGGCUCCUUCCGCGCCCGCCGAGCCGCCCGCGCGCUGCCAGCCCCUCCGCCAGCGCCAGCACUACGGGCAGCGGCUUCGCGCCGCCUGAGGCGCAUGCCCGGGCGCGCGGCGCAUGCCCAGUGCGGGCGCAGGAGCAGCAUCUGAUGGGGGGGCGGGGGGAGGGGGGGAAAUCUGAACGGCGGCGGACGCCGCCAUAUUGCGGAGCUGUCAGCUGCCGCCGCGCUUGGCGCCUCGUCCCCGGCGGCGCCGCGAGCAGCAACGGGGCGGCCCCGCAGCGCCUCCUGCCCCGCUGCGGCGGCGGAGGGGUGGGGGGGGCCACGACACCGCCUUGCCCCAGGAGGAGCGGAGAGCGCCGCGCCCAAGCGCCCGACCCCGGGGUCUCGUCCCUCCCCGCCCCGCUCGCGGGGAGCGGAGCCUCAGAUGUACAUGGGAAGAUUGGCCAUCCUGUCGUUGUCAGACUCUUCAAAACCUUGGAGUUAUUUCAAAUAGAGCAGUUGUGGGUACUUUGAAGCUAAAAUUUGAAGUAAGGUUACUAAACUUAAUAAAUAUAAACUGUAUGUAAAUUGUAUAACA
rnacentral:lncRNA from 1 species